GAAUCGCGAUAGGAAUUGCGAAUUGCAGAAUUCAGUGAAUCAUCGUAACUUUGAACGCAAACUGCGCUUGGGGGUUGACCCCGAGCAUGCCUCUUUGAGUGUCGGUCAAUCCAUCCUGCUGGUUUUCCACAGGGCAGUGAGAGUCCUUUGAGUCUCUUGAAGUUCGCAGCUCCCGUGAGGGAAGCAGAUUGCGGCUGGCGCGAGGUCAGAGCGCGUGGAGAUGGCAUUUUCACAAGCGACCGAGCGCGGCGGCGUCUGCGUGCUUCGUGUGCCGCAAGACACACCCGACCAUCGACCUCAAAUGAGGUAGGAUUACCCGCUGAACUUAA
rnacentral:misc_RNA from 1 species